rnacentral:rRNA from 1 species
AUUGAACGCUGGCGGCAUGCCUUACACAUGCAAGUCGAACGGCAGCACGGGAGCAAUCCUGGUGGCGAGUGGCGAACGGGUGAGUAAAGUAUCGGAACGUGCCCAGUCGUGGGGGAUAACGUAGCGAAAGUUACGCUAAUACCGCAUACGAUCUAUGGAUGAAAGCGGGGGAUCGCAAGACCUCGCGCGAUUGGAGCGGCCGAUAUCGGAAUAGGUAGUUGGUGGGGUAAAGGCUCACCAAGCCGACGAGCUGUAGCUGGUCUGAGAGGACGACAAGCCACACUGGGACUGAGACACGGCCCAGACUCCUACGGGAGGCAGCAGUGGGGAAUUUUGGACAAUGGGCGAAAGCCUGAUCCAGCCAUGCCGCGUGCAGGAUGAAGGCCUUCGGGUUGUAAACUGCUUUUGUACGGAACGAAAAGGUUUGGGCUAAUAAGCUGAGCUCAUGACGGUACCGUAGGAAUAAGCACCGGCUAACUACGUGCCAGCAGCCGCCGUAA